rnacentral:rRNA from 1 species
UGGCGGCAUGCUUAACACAUGACAGUACGAACGCGAAAGUCCUUCGGGGCGAGUAGAGUGGCGGACGGGUGAGUAACGCGUGGGAAUCUACCCUAGAGCGGGGGACAACCCGGGGAAACCCGGGCUAAUACCGCAUACGUCCUACGGGAGAAAGAGGGCCUCUGCUUGCACGCUCUCACUCCAGGAUGAGCCCACGUCCGAUUAGCUAGUUGGUAGGGUAAAGGUCUACCAAGGCCACGAUCGGUAGCUGGUCUGAGAGGAUGAUCAGCCACACUGGGACUGAGACACGGCCCAGACUCCUACGGGAGGCAGCAGUGGGGAAUAUUGGACAAUGGGCGCAAGCCUGAUCCAGCAAUGCCGCGUGUGUGAAGAAGGCCUGCGGGUUGUAAAGCUCUUUCAGUCGAGAAGAAAAGGCUGCAGUGAAUAACUGUAGUUUAUGACGGUAUCGACAGAAGAAGCACCGGCUAACUACGUG